UACAGAGGUCUCAAGCGUUGUUCGGAAUCACUGGGCGUAAAGCGCACGUAGGCGGAUUGUUAAGUCGGGGGUGAAAUCCUGAGGCUCAACCUCAGAACUGCCUUCGAUACUGGCGAUCUUGAGUCCGGAAGAGGUUGGUGGAACAGCUAGUGUAGAGGUGAAAUUCGUAGAUAUUAGCUAGAACACCAGUGGCGAAGGCGGCCAACUGGUCCGGAACUGACGCUGAGGUGCGAAAGCGUGGGGAGCAAACAGG
rnacentral:rRNA from 1 species